AUGAAGAAGUUUUCCCCUCUGAAAUUCUUGGCCAGAUACAGGCAGAGGUUGCUCGACUGUUCAUAAGCUUGGAUCUCAAACAACAUCAAGUUCUUCGCCCUCUUCUCCCUGGAUUUCUUUCACGGCAGCUGAAACCUCUGUGGUAUAUUU